rnacentral:tRNA from 1 species
AUAGUAGUAGUUUAAAUGAAAAAUACAGGUUUGUGGAUUCUGAGAUGCAAAAUGUCUAUUAUA